CAGGUGGUAAACACAUGAUUCUCAUAGUCUCCCUGUAAAAGGCUUGGAGGUGGGCAAUGCCUAAUGACCUGAGUGUUCAGGCCUUCAGCAUUUAUUUACGGCCACUAUGAGUAGGCUGCAAAUCUCUUAAGCCUGCUGCUGGAAUAAAGCCCUGAGGAGCUGGAUGAGGCAUGGGCACACACAUGCAGACAGUCAGCACCAGAGUGAGAAUAUUUAUUACACCCAGUGAAGAGCAAGUAAAAGAAUAAGUCCUCUUUGUGCAGCACCGGCCUCAGUUUGCUGUUUUGUAAGGGAGGAAUCAGGUGAAAGACUCAUCAUGGUUUGUUUCCCACUCCCUGGUGUUCAUCCUGGAGCAUCCGCUGAAGGAGAUACAGACCUUGUGCUAAGUCCAACUGGCUGUCCCUGUCCUCACCAAAGUGAACGGGAUAGCUUUCUGAAAUGUGAAAUGUGUAUGAGUAGGAAGACCUCAUCGCUGAGCCAGGAUCACUGAGUAGUGGCAAAGCUGAAUAAUUAAAGUUCACUUUGGGCAUUGUUGCAAAUAAAACAGAUGUACCUUUGCACUGAAAAUCCACAAUGUUCUCAUCAUUAAAGUAGACUUCAUGGAAAGUGUUUUGCAUUAUUUGUGUCACUUCAGAGGAGUGCUCAAAUUACUGAACCACAAAUAUUCAAUAUCCAGCUUGUGUUAUGAUUGUACACGACAAAACCAAUUUGAGGUGCUGAGAAGCAGCACUGCCUCUUCGCAGCACAUCAACGUGCAGUGCUUCCCAUCCAAUUGGGUUUCCUUGCUGCAGAGCAGGCUCCAUGCAGCCAGGAACAAGUGUUUGUCUGAGUGAGCAGGAGGGGUCCUCUAAUGAUCCGCUUUUUCAGAGUCAU
rnacentral:lncRNA from 1 species